UGCAUCUCAGAAUAGAAUCUUCGGAGCUCUUUAAACCGACGAAUUUUCAAAUCUUCAUAUGAAGCUAGAAUAUUCCUAUGUAACCUUUUUCCUAAAAUGUUUCAAUAAGAUCAUAAUACCACAUCAUGACUUCAUAUUUGAAAAAUUACACUCAUCAAUUUAUAUAUAUUGUAACUCUUGAGUAAUAGUUCUUGUGUCACACACAUAGUUCAUGGACAACGUACGUUCUUUUAACUUUAGCAGUCAUGUUGCUUAUAAACGUUUGCCUAACUUACUUCCUUCUUUCUUCACCGUCAAGGCUCAGUUCAUAUAAUUCAUCCAUAAACCCAUCUUUCCCAGUCAGUCCCCACACACUAAAAAUAAAAAAUCAUAGUAUACAAAUAAGAUAUAGUCUGUCUAUGUCCCAUGAUGAAAGAAAAUAAUCGAAAUGUAAAUUAUUAGUUAGCGAUAAAAUGUCACGACUGUUCUUCUCCCCUCGUCAAAUCAAAAACAAUUUGUUCAAGAAACAAAGAGUUGUGAUGAAUUUUUCUUUCAAUCAAUCGGAGUGGAUGGUUGAUUUGACUUAACUUA
rnacentral:lncRNA from 1 species